rnacentral:rRNA from 1 species
UUUCCUACGGGACGCAGCAGUGGGGGAUAUUGCACAAUGGGGGGAACCCUGAUGCAGCGACGCCGCGUGGGUGAAGGAGCGUUUCGGCGCGUAAAGCCCUAUCGGCAGGGAAGAAGGAGGACGGUACCUGACUAAGAAGCCCCGGCUAACUACGUGCCAGCAGCCGCGGUAAUACGUAGGGGGCAAGCGUUAUCCGGAUUUACUGGGUGUAAAGGGAGCGUAGACGGCGCUGCAAGUCCGGAGUGAAAGCCCAUGGCUUAACCAUGGUACUGCUCUGGAAACUGUAGAGCUUGAGUGCGGGAGGG